GAUGAACGCUGGCGGCGUGCCUAACACAUGCAAGUCGAGCGAACAGACGAGGAGCUUGCUCCUCUGACGUUAGCGGCGGACGGGUGAGUAACACGUGGAUAACCUACCUAUAAGACUGGGAUAACUUCGGGAAACCGGAGCUAAUACCGGAUAAUAUAUUGAACCGCAUGGUUCAAUAGAGAAAGACGGCUUUGAUGUCCCUAAUAGAUGGAUCCGCGCCGCAUUAGCGAGUUGGUAAGGUAACGGCUUACCAAGGCGACGAUGCGUAGCCGACCUGAGAGGGUGAUCGGCCACACUGGAACUGAGACACGGUCCAGACUCCUACGGGAGGCAGCAGUGGGGAAUCUUCGGCAAUGGGCGAAAGCCUGACAGAGCAACGCCGCGUGAGUGAUGAAGGUCUUCGGAUCGUAAAACUCUUUUAUUAGGGAAGAACAAAUGUGUAAGUAACUAUGCACGUCUUGACGGUACCUAAUCAGAAAGCCACGGCUAACUACGUG
rnacentral:rRNA from 1 species